rnacentral:rRNA from 1 species
GUGAACGCUGGCGGUAGGCCUAACACAUGCACGUCGAACGGCAGCACAGUAAGAGCUUGCUCUUCCGGGUGGCGAGUGGCGGACGGGUGAGGAAUACAUCGGAAUCUACUUUUUCGUGGGGGAUAACGUAGGGAAACUUACGCUAAUACCGCAUACGACCUACGGGUGAAAGCAGGGGAUCUUCGGACCUUGCGCGAUUGAAUGAGCCGAUGUCGGAUUAGCUAGUUGGCGGGGUAAAGGCCCACCAAGGCGACGAUCCGUAGCUGGUCUGAGAGGAUGAUCAGCCACACUGGAACUGAGACACGGUCCAGACUCCUACGGGAGGCAGCAGUGGGGAAUAUUGGACAAUGGGCGCAAGCCUGAUCCAGCCAUACCGCGUGGGUGAAGAAGGCCUUCGGGUUGUAAAGCCCUUUUGUUGGGAAAGAAAAGCAGCAGGUUAAUACCCCGCUGUUCUGACGGUACCCAAAGAAUAAGCACCGGCUAACUUCGUG